rnacentral:lncRNA from 1 species
UCUUACUCUGAGAGACGUUCGGGCCCGCGAGGCUCUGGACUCACGUUUGAAUUUGUGGCGCGUAGUGUCCGAGGUGCGGAGUGGAGCUGGGCGUCUUGCUGGAGUCAGCAACUGGGCGGUGAGAGACCCUGAGCGGAGAAUGACCAGAGGGUCGGCCGGCGCUGGAGGGGCCCCGAGUCCAACAGGCCUCCUCGGAAUGCGGCACUUCCACCGCGCUGCUUCCCUCGCCUGAGGCAGGUCCUCUGCUCGCCUCCUCGCAGCCUCUAGAUUCUUCCCUCGCGCCGUUUUCCUCGCGUCUGAGAGACUGUGCGCCCGCCCGCUUCUGUCACCCCCGAAGGAAGGCUGCUCCUAACGCUACCUUCCGGGGUCUCUCCGCUUCCAUCCCUCCCCAGAAGCAGCCCUCCAGCGCUGACGUGUUUACGUCUCCCCCCACUAUCCUGCGCCCCCCCAUCUCUGUCAUAAUUACAGCCUCCUUCCAUCACCAACACUCUCAGAAACUUUCUCCCUGCCUCUGACUGUGGAAAAAUGUCUCCUGAGCAACCUGGUGAGCGUCCCACACCUCAGAGUCCAGAACGUUCCUCAUCAAGAAAGAGGGUGCUGCGGUCCUCCCCUUCCCGCCUGGGACGUAGCGAGGGCACGUGGAAAGCAGCGCGUGAAAGCGCUUUGCAAAGCGGUACGGAAAUGUAAGUUACUUGUUGCAGUUGCUGACUCUGGAUGAUGGUGGAUUCAUCUCGAAAACAUGAUUAUUUUAUUCUUGGUCAGACUCUGUUGAUAUAGAGAAGUUUCGUCUUGGGGUUAUGACUGCUGUCCAGAUCUUAAAGCAAGAAAGCCGGUUCCAAAGGAAACCUCAAGUCCGGUAUAAGCAAAACAAUUCAUGAACAAAAUGGCUGUGAGCACAUUUCAUUUGCAAGACAGCACUAGAGGGCGCUCUUCAGCAGGUCUCAAGAUUAAGAAGCAAUAUCCUGAGAUACAUCUUUCUCUGAUAGAAAUUUUGUCUUGGGAAAAGCUUUGACCAGAUCGUAGUGACAGAAAUGAGAGGCUGGGCCAGUCUUUGGUUUGGAAAUUGGAAGUGAAGAAGAAGAUGGAGGAGAGAAGAGACUCGAUAAAGAAAGCGUGACAUUAUAUUCUUCUUCUUGACUGAGGAAAAACAAAACAAGACAACAACAGCGACAGAAUAAAAAUACUUAAAGUGAUAUUUGAAGAGUCACCAACAGUGGCUAACCAGCUGCUGUUUUACCAGGAAUGAAAUAGCCUAUUGAGGGAGCUUUAAAAGCUCUCAAUUAAUAUGUUGUGCAUGUAUUAGAUCUACAAAGAACUCACUGUAUUCCUUCUCUUCCCACAAAUCCCCCCAAUACACACAUAUUCCCUAACCACCACCUCUUUUUCCUGUCGAGUGCAGAGGAAAAGAUCAGAGCUACAAAAUAAUUGACUAAUUGCUUCAAAAUUGACAACAUCCCUCUUCAAAAAGAAAGGACAAAAACAAACACGUACAAAAAGGUGACUGUUCAUUAAUGAAGGGAUAAAUUACCGAUGGCUUCUUCAUUCUCUUUAGUUCAUUAACCCCCCAAAAGAAACAAAUAUAAUCCACAUGUUAAUAUUUCUUGUCUUCAUUUUCUUUUGUUUUAAUAUGAUGCUCUUUAUUUAUUUUUUUUAAGUGGUGGUAUUUGUAGAAGGCUCUGCCACUGCAUUCCCCAAAGAGCUACUAGUUUCAACCCACUGGAGUUUAUAUUCCUUUAAUUGUCUAGUGCAGGAACAUUUCUGCUGUUUUAAAAAUAUACCGCUCUGCAGGAAUUAGAAGAAUCCAAGGUUGUAUCCAACUUCAAAGGUUUCCAGGUCAUAAUGAUUUUAGCAAAAGUAGAAGACACAUCAUGGAACAAGUCCCUGUUUGAAGAUAAGCAUCAUAGGGACCUUUUUUUCUUCCCUCUCUCCCCAACUUUGUACUUCUCCUGGCUCUGAAUGCCCCUCGCUAACACGGUUUAAUGAUAUGCAAAUGAAAUAUGCAUAAAACCAUUCUACUGUAUGAUGAUUAAACACUGGAGACAUUAACAGCGGAGGCUUCACUCUUUGUAAUAAUCCUUCCCGACCAUCCACUUUGAUUGCGGAGUUAUGGAAACCCAUAGCGUUUGGCAGAGAGAGUGAAAGAGGGAGAGAAGGAAGGAAAGACGCAGGGUCACAUCACCCAUCUCGGUGCUUCUCCCACUCCAGGAGAGUUCCCCCCCUUUGUACUGCGUUCCUAUUGCUGUCUUUUGUAAUCCAUCCAUGCAGUCACACCAGAGCGAUUAACGGAAAAAAACCUCUUUUCUCUUAAUGUUUCAAAGCUCAUUAGCCAAACGAUUAUUCCUCAUUAACAGCGAAAGCUCAUUCAUUAAAAGGAAGAAUAUGCCCAAAAGAUGCCAGCGCGGUUAAUCCUGAGUCCCGUACUGGGCUGUAAAUCCCAUACUACUUGUAUAUUCCAUGCGAAAGGGACACGCGCCAAUCCACAUUUUUUAAAAAAAGAAAGAAAGAAAAAGAAAACAGUUUAUGUGUUUUGUAAAAUCCACAAGAGCAGCAAUUAAUAUUCCCAUUGAAUGACUUUAUUUUUUUUUUGUCUCUCCCUUUUGUUUCCAGCGCCUGCCCUUGGCUCAGCGCCCGGUGCCAACAGAACACCUUUCAGGAUCCACAGCAACGCAGACAACGUAAGUACCAGCCGUUUCCUGAAACCCUUUCAGAUUUUUUUAUAAACAACCACCUAAAACAUAGAGAGAGACAAGCCUCCUUCCCCUUCUCCCCUGCAUUAUGCCACCAGGGCUUCCUAAGUAGCACCUUCGAAAUCUCUCUGCCUUCAAGUUUGUGCAUGUCUGUGUGGCAUCCCUCCUCCUCCUUCACUCCCAUAGUGGAUCUUGUAAAAGGGCUUCAGAUCGGCCCCAUUCAUCUCCCUGGUGAUAGCAGUGAAUGUAGAUAAAUCUCUGACUGCCUGCUUGCUGUUGGAGUAUGAUUUUUAUUUUGUCUUCUCUGUAUACCUGGGUCAAAAAGUGGGAUGUAUGCACACAUAUACAUGCACAUACACACAUUUCCUUCUCUCUCCUCAUGUCUUCCUCUCCUUUUUCCUCACACAUGCAUACAUCCCACAUAUGUGUAUAUAUGCAUAAGCAUAUACACCUAUGCACAUACCCAUACCUAUAACACAAAAAUAUAUACAUAUCUAAACGUUUAAUUUGUCUGAAAAUAUGUGUAUUUAUAUACACAUACAAGCUUACACAUGUGUCUAUAUGCAAUCGAUAGGUGCCUAUCUUUUAAUUUAUACCCAUCUAUAUCUCCAUUUAAAUAUUCCCUCUCUUCUCCCAGCAGAAGCUGUGUGCAAUUGCAAUCCAGGAUUAUACAAGCAGUAUUCUUUCCUUAUGAUUUCUAUUUGUAGACCUCUAUGCUCCCUUCUCUGCCUUCUUCCCAGCUGUAGAAUUGGCAUCAUUCCCUGAGGUUUUCCGAAUGGCAAGUGGCACCGGCUGUGGCAUGCAUUCAUGCCGCUUCCUGUGGCAUUUCUCUUCCGAUGUCUGCUUUUUCUCUUUGUUUGUUGUUGACUAGGCUGAAUGGUGUUUUUUUAAGUUAAUUAUAAACGAAGUUGAAUAGCAAACAAGCCAAUAGCUUGCCCAAAAAAAAAAAAAAAUAGCCCCACACAAGCGCCUUCUGCUGCAACAGAUGCCCAGAUCACCCCUGGCACGGGCAAACGGGCGCACGAUUUUGGUGGUUGUUAAUUUUUUCUGUUUGUUGCUGUAUUUGUUGUUUGUUUUCCUUGUUUCUUUUUGAUUUUUCCAGGAGUCCAGGAUCCCGGCCUCUGCUUGGAACGGAACAGUGUCAUGGCGGAGACGACGGCCUUUGUCUUGCUGGGUGUGAAAGCAUCCGCUUUGCAGGCUCCACUGCGGCAGAAUCAAGUUUAAAGGAAAAAGGUACAGACGCCAGCCGCUUGGCACACUCUGCCUUUCGCACUGGUGCAGGGGGGCAGGGAGAGCCCGCAGCAAACCUAGCAACUGCUGAGGGAACGUUGCCUGCUUAUUGGAGUAGCGCCGAUAGAAGUCGACGUGGCACUGCCUCGUCCUUACCGUAUGGAGAGCCAUUCUAUAUUUUGUUAAAUAAUCAAAGCACAACCCUGUCUUUCUUCUUCUCCUUUCCUCGUUCAAAACAGGAAAACCCUUCAGAAGUUCUUAUGGGGAAAAAAUAUCCCUCCCCCAAACUAUUUAUCUCAUCCAUAAUAUGCUUUUUUUCCAAUAAGAAGAAAAUACGUGAUGCCUGUUUUUUUUUAAUUACAAGAAGGAAAGCUACUCUUUCCCUAAACAUCACAGGCAAAGAAGAUUUUUUUAAAGAAAAAGUUCCAUAAAGUUUCUUUCUCUAUAUCUCAGUAUUUUGUUUUGUUUCUAUUCCCCUUGACUCAGAUGGGUUAUUUAUGGUGAAAGAUUUCAGUAAGAAA